UUUAAACGCAAACAAAUGAUCAAAUAAAAAAUGCCAAUACGACACUUGCAAAAUUGCAAAAAUUGUGCUUCGCCAUAAAACUUUUCCAAUAGGUGUUUUCAGCUGUGUGCCUUUUAUUAAUUAAAUGAUAAUUAUAGAGUGUACAAAAGCAAACAGUAGGAGGUUGCUAUAAAUACUUCGGCCCAAACGCGAGAUUCGUGUGAAAAGCAAGAGAAAGAGCAGAGAAAAUGCGUAAGAAAGCAAUGCAGAGAGGAUGACUUAUAUUGAAUCAAGCCACAAAAAAUACCGUAAUUGAGUUUGAAUAAAUUAUAUACUUUACCACACGAGGCCGACGGACUACUUAACAUAUUUCUUUUCGGCUAGCCGACAUUCAUAAAGACAGCCUCGGGCCUCCCAAACAUUUAAAUAGUUAUGUGAAAAGCCCGAAUGCUAUUGAAUGAAUGUUAUUACUUAUCAAUUUGUCAAUCUAUAGUCAGUAUGUUUGUAUGUGUAGCGCUAAAGUUAAGCUAUUGAGGUUUUAUGAAUUAUGUUUGCAUAUAUUAAGUGGAAAUACUGUCUGAUAUUUCAUUAUCGCAUUGGCUUCGGUUUGUUAGCAACGUUCCUCCCGAACUUAAUAUAUAAAUCAUUUAAAUUUAAAAUAUCUUCAAAAAACAGUGUAAGCUGAAAUUGUACCGAGGAAAACAUACUACAUAGCUGUAUUGCUGUAAAUGGUUAAAAAUAAGAAAGACUUAAGAGUAUCUGUCUCUUCUAGAGUUUUUCCACAAUUACUAAAGACGCACGGGGAAACAUUUUUAUAAGCAGG